GACGAACGCUGGCGGCGUGCUUAACACAUGCAAGUCGAACGGAAAGGCCCUGCUUUUGUGGGGUGCUCGAGUGGCGAACGGGUGAGUAACACGUGAGUAACCUGCCCUUGACUUUGGGAUAACUUCAGGAAACUGGGGCUAAUACCGGAUAGGAGCUCCUGCUGCAUGGUGGGGGUUGGAAAGUUUCGGCGGUUGGGGAUGGACUCGCGGCUUAUCAGCUUGUUGGUGGGGUAGUGGCUUACCAAGGCUUUGACGGGUAGCCGGCCUGAGAGGGUGACCGGCUACAUUGGGACUGAGAUACGGCCCAGACUCCUACGGGAGGCAGCAGUGGGGAAUAUUGCACAAUGGGCGGAAGCCUGAUGCAGCAACGCCGCGUGCGGGAUGACGGCCUUCGGGUUGUAAACCGCUUUCGCCUGUGACGAAGCGUGAGUGACGGUAAUGGGUAAAGAAGCACCGGCUAACUACGUGCCAGCAGCCGCGGUGAUACGUAGGGUGCGAGCGUUGUCCGGAUUUAUUGGGCGUAAAGGGCUCGUAGGUGGUUGAUCGCGUCGGAAGUGUAAUCUUGGGGCUUAACCCUGAGCGUGCUUUCGAUACGGGUUGACUUGAGGAAGGUAGGGGAGAAUGGAAUUCCUGGUGGAGCGGUGGAAUGCGCAGAUAUCAGGAGGAACACCAGUGGCGAAGGCGGUUCUCUGGGCCUUUCCUGACGCUGAGGAGCGAAAGCGUGGGGAGCGAACAGGCUUAGAUACCCUGGUAGUCCACGCUGUAAACGGUGGGUACUAGGUGUGGGGUCCAUUCCACGGGUUCCGUGCCGUAGCUAACGCUUUAAGUACCCCGCCUGGGGAGUACGGCCGCAAGGCUAAAACUCAAAGGAAUUGACGGGGCCCCGCACAAGCGGCGGAGCAUGCGGAUUAAUUCGAUGCAACGCGUAGAACCUUACCUGGGUUUGACAUGGAUCGGGAGUGCUCAGAGAUGGGUGUGCCUCUUUUGGGGUCGGUUCACAGGUGGUGCAUGGUUGUCGUCAGCUCGUGUCGUGAGAUGUUGGGUUAAGUCCCGCAACGAGCGCAACCCUUGUUCACUGUUGCCAGCACGUUAUGGUGGGGACUCAGUGGAGACCGCCGGGGUCAACUCGGAGGAAGGUGGGGAUGACGUCAAGUCAUCAUGCCCCUUAUGUCCAGGGCUUCACGCAUGCUACAAUGGCUGGUACAGAGAGUGGCGAGCCUGUGAGGGUGAGCGAAUCUCGGAAAGCCGGUCUCAGUUCGGAUUGGGGUCUGCAACUCGACCUCAUGAAGUCGGAGUCGCUAGUAAUCGCAGAUCAGCAACGCUGCGGUGAAUACGUUCCCGGGGCU
rnacentral:rRNA from 1 species